rnacentral:tRNA from 1 species
GGAGAGAUGUCUGAGCGGCCUAAAGAGCUCGCCUGGAAAGCGACGCGGUGCGAAAGCGCCACGUGGGUUCGAAUCCCACUCUCUCCGCCA